GAGUCACUGGAACAACAAAACACAAACCGAAUGAAAAGGAGGAAGAAGAAAGGUGGCGCAAACUGUUUACUGUUAGUUUAUUUUUUAUGAUUAGUUAGAAAAACAACUUUGUGUUGCUUUUUAACAAGACUGAGAUUCAAGAUUUUCAAAAUAAGAGUGGGAGAUGAGAGACCAAAAUGAGGAAGAACAAUUAAAAUACUCGCUAAAUAAUGCAGAUUUCAAGAUAGCAAAGAAUAAGUCUCCAAAUACAAGGGCAGAUCCAGGCAAAGAAGAAAUAAACAGUGGUUAAUUUUGCACCCCCGCAUGUUUAUCUUCAUGGCUGUCUGCCCUCAUAUCUUUUUUGGUCUCCAAGGUUACAGAGAGACAAUGAGGAGCACGACUUCGAGAGGCUCAAAUCUCACCCAACCAGGAGUCAAGGCUGUGCUUGGUGAGGGAACACCAGCCCACGGGGAAGAUGUCCCGGGAGUCGUACUUGCACCAGUAGUCGAAGGCCCCCCUCCACCCAUCGAACAUGACGAACACCUCAUCGCCCCGCACGUCUCCAAUGGUAGCGGGGCAGAUCAGGGUUCUCAGGAGGAACAUGGGCCAGGAGGAGGCGUUCAUCCGGAACCCUGAAGAGGAGGAGAGGAAAACCCAUUUGAAUCUAAAGAGGAACAACAUUCGGAUUAAACUGAGGCUGAAUUUCCAGUUCCAGAACUCCAGUUUGUUUGGGAAUCUGAAGACUUCCUUUAGAAAUUUCUGGAACAUAUUUUUCAAACACUUCCUCACAAUCCAACAUGUCACAAGAAGACGCGAGUCACAGUACAGGAGAGGAAGUGGAGAUAUGGGACAAGUUAAUGAAUCCAUGCAGGGGAAUAUUGACUUAAACUUUUCUAACUUCAGCAUUUUAGUAAACACUGAGUUAGUCUUCCUAAAGAAAGCAUUAUCAGCUCUGAACAUCAGCUUUUGACUCCUGAAUGUUCUGGUGAAGCAGGCCACAUCAUUCAUAUGUGAAGGUCAGUUUCUGCCAGAGCACUGUUACCUGACCAAUCAAACUCAGCGCUGUAGCAGCAUGAACCGGCUGCUUCAAUGUCCUCGCCUCUCAGGGCGCUUUCACACUGCGCUGUGUGUCAAAAAGCAAGAAAAUGCCUUGUGAGCAUGUCCCACAGAGGAGCAGCGACCGCUCUGAACUAGGAGGGCAACAUUUACCGGCUGGUUCUCUUUGUUGGGUUUUUCUUUAUAGAAAAGGCUUGUUCUGAGCAGCUUUACGGUCUCAAAAGGUAAAGUCAGAGUUUUAAAUUGUUAAUUGUGAUGAAUUAAUUAAUUACAAACAAAUUAGUGCAUUUUUUUAUCACAUUAUUCUAAUUUUUGCUCUACAGUGCUCUUGUCCUUAUCAUAAAUAAGGUUAUAGUAUGUUGCCUGUCGCAUCUGAUAGUAAACUGAGGAAUAAAGAAGUUGUGGUAAAUAUUUUUUGAAUUAAUCAGAAAAGUGUUUUUUAUUAAAAAUUAUGCUUUGUUCUUAAUAAUCCCCUUGGUGGUGUAAAAUUAAAGGUUGGAUGUCUGUUAUAAUAGGAAAAUUUCAUAAAAUCACUUUUAGUCUUUUGUUGCAUCACAAAAUGAAAUGAAAAUAACUCAAAAUGAGGCUUUUAAAAGGAAUUAUCAAGGUAAAAAAGAUGAAUCAGAUUAAUUGAUUACAGCUCUUGAUUAAAUAAUCGCACAAAAAAAUGAAUCACAGUACAGCACCGGUAAAGUUCAGAUAGCAGAUCCACUCAAACUUGUACCAUGCACCACAAAUCACUGAAAGAAAGAUGUUUUAAUUUACAAUAAAACAAAUGACUGCAAGGUCAUUGCUGUAGAUCACAUGAUCAGAUUUGUUUAGUUUAUUUUUGGCCUUUAAAGAUUUACGGUCAAAUGCUGAUAUUUAAAAAUGAUUUAAACAGGCAAAAACUUACACACUAGGUAUUUAGUUUUAUUUACAUUAUUUUACAUUUAAUGUAAAAUAAGAUUUUACUAUAACUUAAAAAAAAUAUUCGGAAAAUUAUUUGAACAUCAAUUUUCAACUUUAUUUUAUUUUCAAUUUAAAAUGUUUUUUGAUUCAUCUGUAUUUGUUUUUUAAAAAGGUUCUGAGAUUUUAAGGACGUGAAAUCAUAUUCUCAAAGCUAAAAAUGUCAAAAGAUGUUUUUUUCAUUUCAGAUUAAAACAACUCCCACCGCUGCAGAACAGACAUUACUAUUUUCUUGAUUUAUCUUAUUUAACAGACUUUAUGUAAACUCAAUGCAAUUUUAAAGUAUAUUUUAAUACAGAACUUGUGAUGUCAGAGAAUUUGUUCUGUUAUUUUUUAGAAAAAACUCUGAAAUGUUAAAGGCUUUUACUAAUGUUUUCAGAAUGAAAGCAGAUCAACUUUUAGCAGAUGAACACAGAUAAUAUUAACAAUCGUUUUUGGCCC